rnacentral:rRNA from 1 species
UACGUAGGGGGCAAGCGUUGUCCGGAAUUAUUGGGCGUAAAGCGCGCGCAGGCGGUCUCUUAAGUCUGAUGUGAAAGCCCCCGGCUCAACCGGGGAGGGCCAUUGGAAACUGGGAGACUUGAGUACAGAAGAGGAGAGUGGAAGUCCACGUGUAGCGGUGAAAUGCGUAGAUAUGUGGAGGAACACCAGUGGCGAAGGCGACUCUCUGGUCUGUAACUGACGCUGAGGCGCGAAAGCGUGGGGAGCAAACAGG